CUUGAAUGAACUUGAGGUAGGCGGAAUGUGACAAGUAGCGGUGAAAUGCAUAGAUAUGUCACAGAACACCAAUUGCGAAGGCAGCUUACUAAGGUUUAAUUGACGCUGAGGCUCGAAAGCGUGGGGAUCAAACAGGAUUAGAUACCCUGGUAGUCCACGCCCUAAACGAUGAUAACUCGAUGUUGGCGAUAUACAGUCAGCGUCCAAGCGAAAGCGUUAAGUUAUCCACCUGGGGAGUACGCCCGCAAGGGUGAAACUCAAAGGAAUUGACGGGGGCCCGCACAAGCGGAGGAGCAUGUGGUUUAAUUCGAUGAUACGCGAGGAACCUUACCCGGGCUUGAAAGUUAGUGAAUGAAUCAGAGAUGAUUCAGUGGUUUACCACACGAAACUAGGUGCUGCAUGGCUGUCGUCAGCUCGUGCCGUGAGGUGUUGGGUUAAGUCCCGCAACGAGCGCAACCCCUAUGUUUAGUUGCCAGCAUGUAAAGAUGGGGACUCUAAACAGACUGCCUGUGCAAACAGAGAGGAAGGAUGGGACGACGUCAAGUCAUCAUGGCCCUUACGUCCGGGGCUACACACGUGCUACAAUGGAUGGUACAGAGGGCAGCUACUUAGCGAUAAGAUGCCAAUCUCAAAAAGCCAUUCACAGUUCGGAUCGGGGUCUGCAACUCGACCCCGUGAAGUUGGAUUCGCUAGUAAUCGCGUAUCAGCAAUGACGCGGUGAAUACGUUCCCGGGCCCUUGUACACACCGCCCGUCAAGCCAUGGCAGUUGGGGGUGCCUAAAGUCCGUAACCGCAAGGAGCGGUCUA
rnacentral:rRNA from 1 species